rnacentral:misc_RNA from 1 species
GAUGAAGAACGGAGCGAAAUGCGAUAAGUAAUGUGAAUUGCAGAAUUCAGUGAAUCAUCGAAUCUUUGAACGCACAUUGCGCCCGCCAGUAUUCUGGCGGGCAUGCCUGUUCGAGCGUCAUUACAACCCUCAGGCCCCCGGGCCUGGCGUUGGGGAUCGGCGGAAGCCCCCUGCGGGCACAACGCCGUCCCCCAAAUACAGUGGCGGUCCCGCCGCAGCUUCCAUUGCGUAGUAGCUAACACCUCGCAACUGGAGAGCGGCGCGGCCACGCCGUAAAACACCCAACUUCUGAAUGUUGACCUCGAAUCAGGAAGGAAUACCCGCUGAACUUAAGCAUAUCAAUAAGCGGAGGA